GGCGCUUUAGCUCCGUUGGUAGAGCACAUCAUUCGUAAUGAUGGGGUCAGGUGUUCGAGUCACGCAAGCGGCACCA
rnacentral:tRNA from 4 species